GAAAGAUGUAGAGCCUGAGGGUUGAUGAAUGCCUUUGAUUUUGAUUAAUAUUGGAAUCUGAUAUUGAGAGAAAUUAUCUUAAUGUCUGCCGUCACCUCCAGGAUCCUGCAGAUGAGCAGCUGUUUCACUGAGGGUCUGAGAAGAAUCUCAAAGAGGAGACACCUGAGCCCCAUGGAGGAAGAAGACAGUUUCACUGGGAGUGGAGCGCUAGAACAAAGAUGUGAAGACCCAGACAUAAAUGAGAGGAAUUUAAGGAUUUGUACAAAAUCUAAGGAGAUUAGAGCACAGCAUUCAUGAUGGAGAGUGAAGAAAGGUCCUAUUAAUAGUAGGAGAAGAAAUAAAUUUAAAACAGGCCUAUGGAGGCAGGAAAGCCAUUUAAGAGAAAGAGAGUUGAACUCUUAAAACUUAGCAAGAUUGGGGGGCAAAUUAGGAGGAAAAACUCAAAAUUGUUUUUUUGAAUUAAAAUGUAUAUAUAUAUUUAAUUAUGUGCAAUUUCUAGGGAGAAGGAAUUCUUUCAACAGUGUAUAUUGAGUACCUACUUUGUAUUGGACUAUAAAGAUGAAUGAGAGAAUAUAAAUGAUUAUGAUGCAUGAUACAUAUAAUAAAAAAAUGGACAAACAUGAACUUGACAGAGUCAAGAGAGACCGUACAGCGGAGGUUAUACCCAGGUUAAGUUAUGAUAGAUGACUAACAGUAUGAAGAAGAAAACCUGGCAAGAGAGAUAGAAUUCAGAAGGGCACUUAGAUAUGAACAAAACUUGUGUUCAGGGGUCACAGGUGGUCAGGAGUAUAAAGAGUACAGGAGAGUAAGAACCGGAGAGGAGUCAGAUUAGGAAGAACUUUGCUUGUAUUUUACUGAAAAACAAUCACAGAAAUAGUGUGAUCUGAUGGUUCUGGCAGAUAUAUGGAGAAAACUAAUUGGGAGUCAUAUUAGUUUCCUAGAGCUGUCAUAACAAAUUACCCCAAACUUUAUGGCGUAAGGAAUUUAAUAAAUGUAUCAACAGGCUACACUCCCUCUGAGGCCUGUAGGGGAGAAUCUUCUCUGUCUCCUGCAGCUUUUGCCGGCUCCUGGCAUUCCUUGGCUUCUGGCAGCAUCACUCUGAUCUCUUCCUCCAUCUCCACAUGGUUUUCUUCCCUGUAUAUGUCUCUCUCUUUUUCUCUCUUACAGGACACUCAGACUCUAAUUUAGAAUGGCCUCAUCUUGAUUCUUUUAAGUACAUUUGCAAAGCCUUACUUCCAAAUAAAGGCAAAUCCUAAGAUUCCAGGUGGACAUACAUUUUUGGGAAAAACAAUUCAACCUACAGCAAGAGGCCAUUGCAAUAGCACAUUCAGAGAAGUGUAAUCAUCCCAGAUAAAGCAGAGCAGAGGAGAUAAAAUAAGUAAGAAGGCGGUCACAGUAAUAGGAAGUCCAUGUUUGGAGAAAGAAGUGAAGAUAGAAAUUGAAGAAAUUUGUUGGAGAAACCAGGUGGAUUCUAGUACCAGUGGUUGAGAUAGGAACUAUAGAGUAAUAAUAAAUUUGAAAGAUGGGUUCUGAGGUAUGAAAAUUUUGAAAAGUUCAGUUUCAUACACUGUAAAUUACUUUGAGAAUGAGAGAAAAAAGUUAUUAAAUGGCUUAGAUGGCUGGGUGUGUGAUGGUGAUACCAUUAACUAUAGUUGGAUAAACAAUGAAAUAAAUUUUUUUUAAGAAAAUAAGGUUAGUUUUAAGAAUCAUAAGUUUGAAGGGGAGGUGGUAUAUAGAUGCAAGAGAAGAAGUAGACCAUGAAGCAGGAAAUAGGCACUUGGUGUCCUGGAAAAGUGCUGACAAUGUUUAGCAGUUUAAGGCAGAAGACAAAGGUCUUGUCGGAAACUGAGACACGUGGAAAACAGUGAUAAGAGAGGAGUGUCAGUGAAGUUAAGAAAAGUUUCACUAAGGAGUGUCUCAACAAGGUGAGAAUUUGGGAUGAUCUCUUCACAUGUUGUUGGAGAUCAUGGUUUGUCUCUGGCCAAGGGGCUGAAUUGCAGCCUGGGUGCCUACACCAUCCGAGGAAGAGUAAAUCCAGACAUAGGGAGUGAAGACACCCAAUACUGUAAGUGAAAAAUCAACUCGUUAAACAAUUCAGAUUGCAAGAUCCCAAAUAAAAAACUAUUUAGGAGUUCCCUUUGUGGCUCAGUGGUUAACGAACCUGACUAGAAUCCAUGAGGACGUGGGUUCCAUCCCUGGCCUCACUCAGUGGGUUAAGGGUCUGGCACUGCUGUGAGCUGUGGUGUAGGUCGCAGAUGAGGCUCAGGCCCCACGUUGCUGUGGCUGUGGUGUAGGCCAGCAGCUGUAGCUCUGAUUCAGUCCCUAGCCUGGGAACUUCCAUAUGCCGACCCUAAAAACC
rnacentral:lncRNA from 1 species